GUCACAUUGUGCUUAGACAUUCUCAGUUUGUGAAAAAUUUUGAGGUUCAUGAACCCCCUGAGAAGCCCACCUUGGAAAUGAAGAUGUCUAUUGAGAGAGAAAAUGGUCUCAUAUUUCAGAAAAUACUCAAACAAUAGGAGAACUAAAAACAACAACAAGAAAGUAAACCUCAAAAUACAUUUAAUCAAAAGUAAGAGAAAAAAGAAACCCAAGAAAAUCCCAGAUUUCUUUUAAGUGCUGCCAAAAGCAGAGCUGAACAGGAAGCCCAUGUUGUUUCUUCAGUCAACAAGAUCAACCUUGCUGGGAAAUGAACAAGUG
rnacentral:lncRNA from 1 species